rnacentral:rRNA from 1 species
CGUUCCCGGGCCUUGUACACACCGCCCGUCACGUCACGAAAGUCAGCAACACCCGAAGCCCGUGGCCCAACCCCGCAAGGGGAGGGAGCGGUCGAAGGUGGGGCCGGCGAUUGGGACG